GUUUUAAUAGUUUAAAUAAAACAUUAGUCUUGUAAACUAAAAAUAUAAAUUUUUAUUUAAAAUU
rnacentral:tRNA from 1 species